rnacentral:sRNA from 1 species
UGUGGGGAGGGAAGCGUUUUUUUACUAUAUAUUUUUUAAAAUUUUCUUUAUCUCCCCACCUUGCCCCCUUCCCAAUUGCUUAUUCGGAACAUGGAGAAUUAUCGAGCCAUUUUUUUAAGUGUGUUUUUACAAUGGUUUUCUCUUAUCUUCACCGCUCCAAGUUUUGAUUAUUGGCAUGCAAGUGGGAGGAAAAUUCAUUCAUUCUCCAUACCUAUUUUGAUGUUGAAUUAAGAUAACAAUGUCAUUCCAAGAAGAGGACCCUUUGAAGAUGCAAUCAAAAGGAGAGAACAUUGUUUGUCUAUGACUGAUUGUUAGAUGAUGAAUGUAUUAUGUAAAUGCCUGUAUCGUAGUUAAGUCCGAUAAAUCAAAAUGUCUCGGAAAGUCUAUCUCGAUUCGUACCCUAUCUGUAUAUGGGUCAGGAUGAGACUUUUUUGGCACGCU